UGAUAUUAAGGUAUUAAAUAGCCGCGAUAAUUUGAUCGUGCAAAGGUAGCAUAAUAAUUUGUUUCUUAAUUAGGAACUGGAAUGAAAGGUUGGACGAAAAAAGGACUGUCUCAAUUUAAAUUUAAUUAAAAUUUUAUUUUUAAGUAAAAAAGCUUAAAUAAUUUUAAAAGACGAGAAGACCCUAUAGAGUUUUAUAUUUAUUUUUUAAUUUUUUAGUUUUAGAAUUUAAUUUUAAAAUUAAUAAGUAAGUAUUUAAUUGGGGUGAUUGAAAAAUUAAAUAAACUUUUUUUUUUAUUAUACAUUAAUAAAUGAAUAAUUGAUCCAUAAUUAUAUGAUUAAAAGAUCAAAUUACCUUAGGGAUAACAGCGUAUUUUUUUUUGAGAGUUCUUAUCAAAAAAAAAGUUUGCGACCUCGAUGGUGGAUAAAA
rnacentral:rRNA from 1 species